rnacentral:rRNA from 1 species
UACAGAGGUCCCGAGCGUUGUUCGGAUUCACUGGGCGUAAAGCGUGCGCAGGCGGUUUCUUAAGUCAGAUGUGAAAGCCCCGGGCUUAACCUGGGAACUGCGUUUGAAACUGGGAGACUUGAGUGUGGCAGAGGGGGGUGGAAUUCCACGUGUAGCAGUGAAAUGCGCAGAUAUCAGGAGGAACACCUAUUGCGAAGGCAGCUCGCUGGGACGUUACUGACGCUGAGACGCGAAAGCGUGGGGAGCAAACAGG